rnacentral:rRNA from 1 species
AGCAGUGGGGAAUAUUGCACAAUGGGCGCAAGCCUGAUGCAGCCAUGCCGCGUGUAUUGAAGAAGGCCUUCGGGUUGUAAAGUACUUUCAGCAGUGAGGAAGGUGGGUAUGUUAAUAGCAUACUCAUUUGACGUUAGCUGCAGAAGAAGCACCGGCUAACUCCGUGCCAGCAGCCGCGGUAAUACGGAGGGUGCGAGCGUUAAUCGGAAUUACUGGGCGUAAAGCGCAUGCAGGUGGUUUGUUAAGUCAGAUGUGAAAGCCCGGGGCUCAACCUCGGAAUUGCAUUUGAAACUGGCAAACUAGAGUACUGUAGAGGGGGUAGAAUUUCAGGUGUAGCGGUGAAAUGCGUAGAGAUCUGAAGGAAUACCGGUGGCGAAGGCGGCCCCCUGGACAGAUACUGACACUCAGAUGCGAAAGCGUGGGGAGCAAACAGGAUUAGAUACCCUGGUAG